CAGCCGCCACGGGAAUACGAACCGUGCGAACGUUAUUCGGAAUCACUGGGCUUAAAGCGCGUGUAGGCGGGCCGCCACGUCGGUUGCUGAAAUCCCCCGGCUCAACCGGGGAAGUGGCAUCGAUACGAGCGGCCUUGAGGGGGGUAGGGGGAUCUGGAACUUCCGGUGGAGCGGUGAAAUGCGUUGAGAUCGGAAGGAACGCCCGUGGCGAAAGCGAGGUCCUGGACCCUUUCUGACGCUGAGACGCGAAAGCCAGGGGAGCGAACGGGAUUAGAUACCCCCGUAGUCCCUGUCUCUUAUA
rnacentral:rRNA from 1 species